rnacentral:rRNA from 1 species
UACGUAGGGUGCAAGCGUUGUCCGGAAUUAUUGGGCGUAAAGAGCUCGUAGGCGGUUUGUCGCGUCGAAUGUGAAAACCCGGGGCUCAACCCCGGGCCUGCAUUCGAUACGGGCAGACUAGAGUUCGGUAGGGGAGUCUGGAAUUCCUGGUGUAGCAGUGAAAUGCGUAGAUAUCAGGAGGAAUACCGAUGGCGAAGGCAGGUCUCUGGGCUGACACUGACGCUCAUGCACGAAAGCGUGGGGAGCAAACAGG